ensembl:lncRNA
CUCAUGUGUCUGGUGGUUAGCUGGUAGUUGGCCGGGGCAGUGGAGACAGCUGGUCUGGUAGUCACUCAUCACCCAGCAGGCUAGCCUGGGCUUGGUCACAUGACCCUGGCAGGAUUCCAAGAGAGGGCACAGGAGCGGCCGGGCUCUUGAGGCCGAGGCUCCUAAGUGGCACAGAUUGCUUCUAUUGGCUAAAUCGAGUCACAUUCUGUUGGCCCAGGAACUAUGGUGCCAGAUGUGUGUGGGGUGUUUUACACAGUGAUAAGCUGACAUCUUAGCAGGGACCUGAAGGAAGUGAGAGAUUAAGUCCUGUGGUCACCUGCAGGAAGAGAGUUCUGAGGCAGAAGGAAUAGCACAGAGGCCAGAGUGGCUGGAGCCGGAGAGCAAAGAGGGGGAAGGAACAGCCAAGUCAGAGAAAAAAGUGGGGGCCAAAGUGUGGAGGGCCUUGCCAGCUGUCAUGAGGACGUGGGCUUUUACUGGGAGUGAAAGAGGAGCCCUGGGAGGGUUUUGGACAGAGGAGUGACAUGAUUCGAGUGUUAUGAUCUGGCUGAGGUUUUAUUUGCUCACAGUCUGAAGGAGAAGCCAGACAAUUAAAGGAGUGAUGAAUAGCAAUAACUGUGAGGAGAGUCGUGGUAGGAGAAAUACAGGGAGCCACGAGCACAUGGCACAGGUUCAGGUCAAAGAUGAGGAGGAAUGUGCCAGGUUUUUAAAAGUGGCCACAGACGCUUGCUCUCCUCCCAUUGAGAGUGCGUGCCCCUCUUCUCGUUUCUGGCAGGCUUGUGACUGCUUUGACCGAUGGAAUAUAGCAGGAGUGACACUAUGGGACUCCUGGGGCUGGGCCUUAGAAAGUGGUGCAGCUUCUGCUUUGUUUACUGGAACUCUCAGGAGCCUGGAGCUGCCAUGUCAGAAGUCUGACCAUCCUGAGGCCUGGUCUUUGAGUCAUCCAAACCCAGGCCCUGGGCACUUGAGUGAAUGAACCUUCAGAAGAUUCUGGCCCCAGCCAAAUGAGUCUUCUCAGCUGUCUCCACCACGCCAUUCCCACCCCACAGAAUCUGCAAGCAUGAUAUCAUGAUUAUUGUAUGCCACUAAGCUUUAGAGUAGCUCAGCAUCCAAUAACUGGAAAAAGAAGACAUUGAUAGUGAAACUCUGUUUUAAAGAUGAGACGAUGGAAGCUCAAGUAACCUGCCCAAGGUCACACAAUUGGGCUCACUUUCUUCCACUGGAAUGAGAGGUCUUCAAGAGCAGAGACCAAGUCUCGUGAACCUCUGUUUCCACCGCCCAGCAUCUAGCAGAGGUCAACACACAUGCGUGGAAGAAAUCAAUCAAUCAAUCAAUCACCAAAGUCGGUUUUGCAGACCGUUGUUCCAUUUUUCUAAUGCUGCAUAACAAACCACCACAGUAUUUAGUGACUUAAGAUAACACCAUUUACUUUGUGCAUGAAUCUACAGUUUGAGCAGGGCUUGGUGGGGACAGUCUGGCUAUGUGCCCCUUGGUGUCACCUGGGGCUGCUAGAAGGCCAGGGGCUGGAGACGGCUAAAAGGCCCCUCACACGCGUGUAUGGCCCUGGGUUCAGAAGACUCUGGCAGCUGUGGGCUGAACAGCUGGGGCUCCUUGGGCAUCUCUGUCUCUGUGUGGUCUCUCU